UAACGAAUAUUCCGCAAUGCGCGAAAGCGUGACGGAGCAAUGCCGCGUGCAGGAUGAAGCCCCUCGGGGUGUAAACUGCUGUCAGGGUUUAGGAAUUCAUGACCAGACCCAAAGGAAGGACCGGCUAACUCUGUGCCAGCAGCCGCGGUAAUACAGAGGGUCCAAGCGUUGAUCGGAAUCACUGGGCUUAAAGGGUGCGCAGGCGGCGUCGCAAGUACGUUGUGAAAUCCCACGGCUUAACCGUGGAACUGCUUCGUAGACUGCGAUGCUUGAGCAUGACAGGGGCAACCGGAACUCUAGGUGGAGCGGUGGAAUGCGUAGAUAUCUAGAGGAACGCCGAACGGGAAGCCAGGUUGCUGGGUCAUCGCUGACGCUCAGGCACGAAAGCGUGGGUAGCGAACGGGAUUAGAUACCCCCGUAGUCC
rnacentral:rRNA from 1 species